rnacentral:rRNA from 1 species
UGCGCAGGCGGUUUUGUAAGACAGAGGUGAAAUCCCCGGGCUCAACCUGGGAACUGCCUUUGUGACUGCAAGGCUGGAGUGCGGCAGAGGGGGAUGGAAUUCCGCGUGUAGCAGUGAAAUGCGUAGAUAUGUGGAGGAACACCGAUGGCGAAGGCAAUCCCCUGGGCCUGCACUGACGCUCAUGCACGAAAGGCUGGGAGCAAACA